CUCUAGAAACCUGCACAGCAGUAUUUUUGUAGCAAAAGACUCAAGAUCACAAUUUCAGUCUAAUUUAUACAAAAGAAUUAAAGAACAAAAAAUCCUGCAUACGUUAAAAGAACUCUCCAAGCACGAAAACCACUACAGCACACGGGUGAAUCAAUGCAUCUCUAUGAGAAAAUACUGAUUGGCACUGCGCAUGCACACUAGU